rnacentral:piRNA from 1 species
UAAAUCCUGGAUUACUAUUACUGCAGAGUC